rnacentral:rRNA from 1 species
UGGGGAAUCUUGCACAAUGCGCGAAAGCGUGAUGCAGCAACGCCGCGUGCGGGAAGAAGGCCUUAGGGUUGUAAACCGCUUUCAGUUGGGACGAAGCUUCAGUCGUUAAUAGCGGUUUGGAGUGACGGUACCUUCAGAAGAAGCGCCGGCUAACUACGUGCCAGCAGCCGCGGUAAUACGUAGGGCGCGAGCGUUGUCCGGAAUCAUUGGGCGUAAAGCGCGUGUAGGCGGCUGAGUAAGUCUGCUGUGAAAGUCCAGGGCUCAACCCUGGAAUGUCGGCGGAUACUGCUCAGCUGGAGUACGGGAGGGGCGAGUGGAAUUCCUGGUGUAGCGGUGGAAUGCGCAGAUAUCAGGAGGAACACCUAUGGCGAAGGCAGCUCGCUGGAACGUUACUGACGCUGAGACGCGAAAGCGUGGGGAGCAAACAGG